rnacentral:lncRNA from 1 species
UAUUAUUAUUGCCGAUAUUAUAGCAAAUGCAUUUUUUUUGCCUUGUAAACAAGAUUUUGCUUACAGCUAAAUGAAAAGAAGAGAAGUUAAUCACGUUGAAAUAAUAGGUUUAAAAAGGUAAUUCAGUAAUGUUUGGCUGAUGUUUAAUCUUCCCCAAUAGAAGCCAUGCUGAGAGAAAUGACAGAAAUUCUGCUUUUGUAAUUAAACUGUAUUCAUCACUGGCAGGGCAGCUGAAGGAGAGCUGAAAUAAUGCAGUGCCUGCUGACUCCUGGCAGAGCCUCCAAGCAGGGACUUCAAGGUUUGUUAAGUGACAGUGGUGGCUGCAAAUCCUGAAAAUGAAGAGUAUCAUCACAGCUUCCAGUGUAAGAACUUGACACUGUGGGUCUUUUUUGCAGGAGGGUGUGAAGCUUUUUCUGAACCCAUCAGAAAAGAUGUCUCUGAAAACAGCACCCAUCUCUCUGCAGAAGAGUAGAAACAAUCACCCAAGAUAUGUCCAGGGGCCUUUUCCCCACCAGAGCUCAAUGUCUUACUCUUACAUGUUUUUCUGAAUCUGAUCCCUAGCCAACCACUCUGUAUCCAUCUCUAAUUCCAGGUCUGAGUGCUCCUCCUUAGCACUUUUGAAAGAAAUCCAGCACUGGACAGGACCUGGGAGUCCAAAUCCCACAGGAAAGCUCAGAAGUUUUGAAGCUUGGCCACCCUUACCAUAAGUCAGCUUCACACUCUCCCCAUGCUUGUGGAAGCACUGUAUCAUCCCUCAAUGAGAAGAUCUGUAUGUUGGAGUGGCAGAAGCAGGCAGGUUUUCAUUCUCUCCCACCUUCUCUAAGGUCAGGUGAAAUUUUUCUCAAGGAGUUUAAAAGGUGAUCAGGCAUAAACUGUAUCGGAUG